GGGGAGCUGCGUACAUCGAUCCCGUGCCGUGAGGAUGACACCGUUCAUUUCUUGUGGCUGAAAAUGUAGGAUGAGAUCUCCACUCAGCAGAAAGUCAUAAGAGGGUGGACAGCUAUGGAAGACUUCCCAGAUCUUCUGCAUCUGGAAAAUAAAGCACAGACGCAUAUGCUAAAGCUCAAGAAGACUUGUAAAAUUCUGCUCCCCCAGUUAGGUUAUUUCUUUGAUGGGCUGCCAUGCUGAAUUCAUUUUGGGCCACUGGGGCUCCCCUGUUACAAGCUGAAAUCACUAUAGAACUGAGAUCACUGAGUGCUGUGUUAACUAGUGG